AUUGAAAAUAAGUUGCUUGAACAGAAACCAUAUGUAGUCAAAGGACAUGCUUGAGUCCCCUAAGGACAUACAGGCUGUAAGAUUUCUAGUGAGCAUUUCUCCAAUCUCUGAAGCAGGUUAUGAAGCCCACCUAUAUUAUUUCUAAAACAAGGCCUAUACAGGUAUCCCCCGCUUUUCCAAAGUUUGCUUUAUGUCACUUUGCUUUUACCAAAGCAAAAAGCAAAAACAGCGUUCAGCAUUUGUUUUGCAGUGAGCCUGUUAUAGGGGCAGGGUGCACCAUGAGCAGUAACAGUGACCCCACCAAGCUCCUUCCUCAGGAAUUACACUCAGCAGCUCAGCAUCAAGCAAGCUGGAGCUGUGAACUGCAUCUGCGAGCAUCUGUGCUAUACCGCAAUUAUUUGUGCACCUGAAAGCAAGAGGUGUUCUAAGUUACUUUUGCUCUGCAUUAUUGAUUUUACCAGUGGAAAUUAUUGAUUGUUCUACAAUUUGUGGGGCUCUGAGCCAAGUGCAAAUGAACAUUACACAGUUCCUCUAACUAAGCAGGCUCCGUGGCCAUCGCUCACGGGCCCAGCUGCUCCGCGGCAUGUGGGAUCUUCCCGGACCGGGGCACGAACCCGUGUCCCCUGCAUCGGCAGGCGGAUUCUCAACCACUGCGCCACCAGGUAAGCCCCCAAAUUUUUUUUUAUUUUUUAAAAAGCAGAAAAGGGGCAUGCCAACAUUCCCCAUACAAUAAAUAACUUUUAGAAAAUUAUCUGAGAAUAUCAAGAACCAGAGAAAUGUCCAAUUAAAGGAACCGAAACAUCUAGUUUUUAAAUAAAAGUGGGGAGAUUUGAAGAUAUAUAUACUUGGCAAGGGUGAACUUCUAAAUGAGCAAUUAAAAGAAAUGUAGUCAUCAUCAGAUGCCAAUAUGGGGUCCUAAAACACUGUCAUGGUUAGACUUCCCUAGUGGCACAGUGGUUAAGAAUCUGCCUGCCAAUGCAGGGGACAGGGGUUCGAUUCCUGGUCCAGGAAGAUCCCACAUGAUGUGGAGCAACUAAGCCCCUGCACCACAACUACCAAGUCCACAUGCCGCAAC